rnacentral:rRNA from 1 species
UACGUAGGGUGCAAGCGUUAAUCGGAAUUACUGGGCGUAAAGCGUGCGCAGGCGGUUUUGUAAGUUUGUCGUGAAAGCCCCGGGCUCAACCUGGGAAUUGCGAUGAAGACUGCAAGGCUUGAAUCUGGCAGAGGGGGGUAGAAUUCCACGUGUAGCAGUGAAAUGCGUAGAUAUCAGGAGGAAUACCGAUGGCGAAGGCAGGUCUCUGGGCUGACACUGACGCUCAUGCACGAAAGCGUGGGGAGCAAACAGG